rnacentral:rRNA from 1 species
GCCUAUUAGUGGGGGACAACAUUCCGAAAGGAAUGCUAAUACCGCAUACGCCCUACGGGGGAAAGCAGGGGAUCUUCGGACCUUGCGCUAAUAGAUGAGCCUAAGUCAGAUUAGCUAGUUGGUGGGGUAAAGGCCCACCAAGGCGACGAUCUGUAACUGGUCUGAGAGGAUGAUCAGUCACACCGGAACUGAGACACGGUCCG